GAGGUGGGAGGAUUGCUUGAACUUGGGAGGUGGAGGCUGCAGUGAGCCGAGAUCAUACCACUGCACUCCAGCCUGAGUGACAGAGCGAGACCCUGUCU
rnacentral:miRNA from 1 species